UACGUAGGGUGCGAGCGUUGUCCGGAAUUAUUGGGCGUAAAGAGCUCGUAGGCGGUUUGUCACGUCUGGUGUGAAAACUCAGGGCUUAACCCUGAGCCUGCUUCCGAUACGGGCUGACUAGAGGUAUGCAGGGGAGAACGGAAUUCCUGGUGUAGCGGUGAAAUGCGCAGAUAUCAGGAGGAACACCGGUGGCGAAGGCGGUUCUCUGGGCAUUACCUGACGCUGAGGAGCGAAAGUGUGGGGAGCGAACAGG
rnacentral:rRNA from 1 species